UGGGUAGGGGAGCGUUCUGUAAGCCUGUGAAGGUGGCCUGUGAGGGUUGCUGGAGGUAUCAGAAGUGCGAAUGCUGACAUAAGUAACGAUAAAGCGGGUGAAAAGCCCGCUCGCCGGAAGACCAAGGGUUCCUGUCCAACGUUAAUCGGGGCAGGGUGAGUCGACCCCUAAGGCGAGGCCGAAAGGCGUAGUCGAUGGGAAACGGGUUAAUAUUCCCGUACUUGGUGUUACUGCGAAGGGGGGACGGAGAAGGCUAUGUUGGCCGGGCGACGGUUGUCCCGGUUUAAGCGUGUAGGUGUGUGUUCCAGGUAAAUCCGGUUCACUUUAACACUGAGGCGUGAUGACGAGGCACUACGGUGCUGAAGCAACAAAUGCCCUGCUUCCAGGAAAAGCCUCUAAGCAUCAGGUAACAUCAAAUCGUACCCCAAACCGACACAGGUGGUCAGGUAGAGAAUACCAAGGCGCUUGAGAGAACUCGGGUGAAGGAACUAGGCAAAAUGGUGCCGUAACUUCGGGAGAAGGCACGCUGACAUGUAGGUGAAGUGAUUUACUCAUGGAGCUGAAGUCAGUCGAAGAUACCAGCUGGCUGCAACUGUUUAUUAAAAACACAGCACUGUGCAAACACGAAAGUGGACGUAUACGGUGUGACGCCUGCCCGGUGCCGGAAGGUUAAUUGAUGGGGUCAGCGCAAGCGAAGCUCCUGAUCGAAGCCCCGGUAAACGGCGGCCGUAACUAUAACGGUCCUAAGGUAGCGAAAUUCCUUGUCGGGUAAGUUCCGACCUGCACGAAUGGCGUAAUGAUGGCCAGGCUGUCUCCACCCGAGACUCAGUGAAAUUGAACUCGCUGUGAAGAUGCAGUGUACCCGCGGCAAGACGGAAAGACCCCGUGAACCUUUACUAUAGCUUGACACUGAACAUUGAGCCUUGAUGUGUAGGAUAGGUGGGAGGCUUUGAAGCGUGGACGCCAGUCUGCGUGGAGCCGGCCUUGAAAUACCACCCUUUAAUGUUUGAUGUUCUAACGUGGACCCGUGAUCCGGGUUGCGGACAGUGUCUGGUGGGUAGUUUGACUGGGGCGGUCUCCUCCUAAAGAGUAACGGAGGAGCACGAAGGUUGGCUAAUCCUGGUCGGACAUCAGGAGGUUAGUGCAAUGGCAUAAGCCAGCUUGACUGCGAGCGUGACGGCGCGAGCAGGUGCGAAAGCAGGUCAUAGUGAUCCGGUGGUUCUGAAUGGAAGGGCCAUCGCUCAACGGAUAAAAGGUACUCCGGGGAUAACAGGCUGAUACCGCCCAAGAGUUCAUAUCGACGGCGGUGUUUGGCACCUCGAUGUCGGCUCAUCACAUCCUGGGGCUGAAGUAGGUCCCAAGGGUAUGGCUGUUCGCCAUUUAAAGUGGUACGCGAGCUGGGUUUAGAACGUCGUGAGACAGUUCGGUCCCUAUCUGCCGUGGGCGCUGGAGAACUGAGGGGGGCUGCUCCUAGUACGAGAGGACCGGAGUGGACGCAUCACUGGUGUUCGGGUUGUCAUGCCAAUGGCACUGCCCGGUAGCUAAAUGCGGAAGAGAUAAGUGCUGAAAGCAUCUAAGCACGAAACUUGCCCCGAGAUGAGUUCU
rnacentral:rRNA from 2 species